UACGUAGGGUGCGAGCGUUAAUCGGAAUUACUGGGCGUAAAGCGUGCGUAGGCGGUUCGCAAAGUCUGAUGUGAAAGCCCCGGGCUCAACCUGGGAACUGCAUUGGAAACUAACGGGCUCGAGUGUGGCAGAGGGGGGUGGAAUUCCACGUGUAGCAGUGAAAUGCGUAGAGAUGUGGAGGAACACCGAUGGCGAAGGCAGCCCCCUGGGCUAACACUGACGCUCAGGCACGAAAGCGUGGGGAGCAAACAGG
rnacentral:rRNA from 1 species